AACGAACGCUGGCGGCGCGUCUUAAGCAUGCAAGUCGAGCGGCAAGGGUAGCAAUACCCCUAGAGCGGCGGACUGGUGAGUAACACGUGGGUGAUCUACCUUUUGGUUGGGGAUAGCCAUUAGAAAUAGUGGGUAAUACCGAAUGAGGUUGUGGAACCAAGGUUCCAUAAAGAAAGGAGCUACGGCUCCGCCAGGAGAUGAGCCCGCGGCCCAUUAGCUAGUUGGGGGUGUAACGGACCACCAAGGCGAUGAUGGGUAGCCGGCCUGAGAGGGUGAACGGCCACACUGGGACUGAGAUACGGCCCAGACUCCUACGGGAGGCAGCAGCUAAGAAUAUUCCGCAAUGGACGAAAGUCUGACGGAGCGACGCCGCGUGGAUGACGAAGGCCGAAAGGUUGUAAAGUCCUUUUGUCGAUGAAGAAUAAGUGUGGGAGGGAAUGCCCGCAUGAUGACGUUAGUCGGCGAAUAAGCCCCGGCUAAUUACGUG
rnacentral:rRNA from 1 species